rnacentral:rRNA from 1 species
AGUGAACGCUGGCGGUAGGCCUAACACAUGCAAGUCGAACGGCAGCACAGUAAGAGCUUGCUCUUACGGGUGGCGAGUGGCGGACGGGUGAGGAAUACAUCGGAAUCUACUUUUUCGUGGGGGAUAACGUAGGGAAACUUACGCUAAUACCGCAUACGACCUACGGGUGAAAGCAGGGGAUCUUCGGACCUUGCGCGAUUGAAUGAGCCGAUGUCGGAUUAGCUAGUUGGCGGGGUAAAGGCCCACCAAGGCGACGAUCCGUAGCUGGUCUGAGAGGAUGAUCAGCCAAACUGGAACUGAGACACGGUCCAGACUCCUACGGGAGGCAGCAGUGGGGAAUAUUGGACAAUGGGCGCAAGCCUGAUCCAGCGAUACCGCGUGGGUGAAGAAGGCCUUCGGGUUGUAAAGCCCUUUUGUUGGGAAAGAAAAGCAGCAGGUUAAUACCCCGCUGUUCUGACGGUACCCAAAGAAUAAGCACCGGCUAACUUCGUG